rnacentral:rRNA from 1 species
AUACAGAGGGUGCGAGCGUUAAUCGGAAUUACUGGGCGUAAAGCGCGCGUAGGCGGCUUGGUCAGUCGGAUGUGAAAGCCCUGGGCUUAACCUGGGAACUGCAUUCGAUACUGCCUGGCUAGAGUAUGGUAGAGGGAAGCGGAAUUCCGGGUGUAGCGGUGAAAUGCGUAGAUAUCCGGAGGAACACCAGUGGCGAAGGCGGCUUCCUGGACCAAUACUGACGCUGAGGUGCGAAAGCGUGGGGAGCAAACAGGAUUAGAAACCCCAGUAGUCC